UAACCUCCUACUUGGUCUUAAUGGCUGACC
rnacentral:piRNA from 1 species